CUACAAUCUAUGUGACGCCAUGGUAACACCACAGGCAUGUAAGCAACCUCAGCACGUCCUUCAAUUUAUCUCACUAAGUACUGCAUCAAGCCCAGAACAAACAUGGUUAAAUAACUACUCGUUUGGAAGCCCCCUCUUCAUCUUACAGACAACAUCUCAGAAACAGAAGAUAAAAUGUUUCUCCGACAGGAAGAUUAAAGACUAUUCAUGACGUG